AAAGGGAGACCUAAUUCAGGUAAAAGACGAAAAAAAAGUAGUCGCUACCAAGAAUCAAUCCCAAAAGGUCGGAGCGAGGCGAAAUUGGCUUUCAAACUAGGUUCUGGGUUCACACAAGACCUGAAUCAGGAACAAGGGCUAUUAGCUCAGGUGGUUAGAGCGCACCCCUGAUAAGGGUGAGGUCCCUGGUUCGAGUCCAGGAUGGCCCACCUGCACAGGUGUCAAAAACAAGAGAAGCGAGGAAUCAGCACCUUAUCUUAUAUACAUAUAUAAGAGAGAAUGCUGGCUCUGAGUACAGAGUCCAGAGGAACCUUGAAAACUGCAUAGAGCUAGGUGAAAAAGCCAAAAAAGAAGACCGCAAG
rnacentral:tRNA from 1 species